UGAGUGCCCUGCCUGUGGAGCCAGCAGAGUCAUUUCCGGCAGCUCUGUCAUCUUGGGGCUGGGAGGUGGUUUUCUGCCUCUUUCUCACUCAGCAAACAGGAGGCUCAGUCUCAGCAUGCACCGCAGCUCUCUCAUCUUCACUGCCUUCCUGGGACAACUGCUGGAUGCUGUGGGGCAGACCAUUGUCAGCCAGCAAGAAGGACAGGUCACAGUGGAGGAAAGAAACACCUUCCAGACCACCUGCACAUACCAGACAGCUGGGUUUUAUGGCUUGUUUUGGUACCAGCAGAAGAAAGGCCAAGCUCCCCAGCUGGUCACAUAUCAGACAGCAGCAGGCUCCAAGCAGAACGGCCGUUUCACCACGUGGCUGAACACCACCGAGAAAUACAGCCUCCUGCGGCUGGCAGAAGUCGAGCUGUCUGACAGCGCCUUGUACCUCUGUGCUGUGCGGGACACCGUGGUGCAGGGAGCUUCCUUGGCCGUGCCAGAACCGCAGUGAGGGAGGGGGUGUGUCUGUUGGAGGCGGAGCUCUGGGGAAGGGGCCCUCAGCUCUCC